GCGGCACGUGUUUUGGUCGGAGCGAGGGGCGGGGCCUGAGGCCCUGGAAGACAGCAUUCCUUCUGCGUGGAACAUGCCAACCCUCGUCUGCUUUGACUUUGCAAAACUGCAUGAGACCGCCGGGCGCGGUGGCUCACGCCUGUAAUCCCAGCACUUCAAGAGGCCGAGGCAGACAGAUCACCUGAGGUCAGGAGUUUGAGGCCAGCCUGGCCAGCAUGGUGAAACCCCGUCUCUACUAAAAAUACAAAAAAUCAGCCAGUAAUCCUAGCUACUCGGGAGGCUGAGGCAGGAGAAUCGCUUGAACCCAGGAAGCAGAGGUUGCAGUGAGCCGAGGUCAUGCCAUUGCACUCCAGCCUGGGCUACAAGAGUGAAACUCCGUCUCAAAAAAGAAAAAAAAAAAGAAAAAAAGACUGCAUAUGACUCCCCAGUGAAGCCCUCCCUGAUUGGCCUCUGCAGAAGGCAGCAUGCCCGGGCUUUGGAGUCAGACCUGCAUACAAAUCCUUGUUUUGCCGGUGUGACCUUGCCAAGUCUUCUUUCCUGCAGGACAGAAGGCGGCAGCAGCUCUCCCUGAACUGGCACUCUGGCUUCUCUUGCCCCAGGGUCUGUUUCUGCUCCUUGGACAGCAGGCGCAUGUGGGAACUGUGCCCUCUUCAGCCAUGAGCCCCUGUUCUGCGCACAUCUAGCCCAUCUUCCAGAUGGACAGACAGUCUGUGGUCGUCGCCAAACCCCUGAAUCUGGCCCUGCCCGCAGUCAGAGGGAUGGCAAUUUGUAAGCUACAGACUAUUGCGAAUCAUUCACUUGGAGACUGAACUAAGACUACUGGCACCAGGCUCCGUAGACCCUCGGGAAGAGCAUGGUCUGGCAGGCAGACUGGAUGUGGCCACAGAUAACAUCCCCUAAGGGGAGAGCGUGAGCCUGCAGGCCAGAAUGCCACCACUUUCUCCUGUGUCGUUCCAGAGAGAGCCUGUGGCUAUGCACGCUUGCUGCUACAGAGGGUAGUGCUGUAUACCUCCUGGGCUCACUUACUGACUUUUCAGUCUAAGGGCUUAUUGCAAUUGGUACAUAACGAUCAUACUUUGUAAUGGUUAAGUAAUAUUCCAUCAUAUGGAUGUGUUGUUUAUUUAACAUUCUGGUUGAAUAACCAAGACUUUUAGGUUUCCAGUUUUCCAGGAACAUCAUGCCCCUCCAUCAUUUGCCCACCUGGAAGGAUAACUACAGGAUAAGCAGCUCUUAGAACUGGAAUUGCUGAGUUAACUGCUCUGUGCAUUUCCUUGCUUUUUCUUGCUUUUCUUUUCUUUCUUUUAUUAUUUUUUUGGGUAAAUUUUUAUUGAACUAUAGCAUAGCGUAGAUACAGGAAAGUGUAAAAACUUAAAUGUACAAUUCAAUGAAUUUUCGCUAGGCAAACACUGUGUCACCAGCACCCAGAUUUAGAAACAGAAUAUUACCAGAAUCCCAAAAGCCCCAUGAGCUGCCGUCCAGUCACUACUUACCGUUUCCCUGAUCCCCUGCAUAGGAUAAUCCUUAUCAUGGCUUCUGACACUUUCGGUUGGUUUUGGAUGUACUGACACUUUUUGUGUGUGUGUGACACUUUUAUAAUACAAAGAAAAUCAUACAGUAUGUUC
rnacentral:lncRNA from 1 species